rnacentral:lncRNA from 8 species
AACACAUAUCUGCAGCAUUCAGAGUGUUGCUCCUCCAGAACAUGACCCAGGACUGUGUUCAGUAGUGAGAAAAUGUUUUUGAGCUGAAUGAAACUGGGAGGGAAUACCUCAAUGAGAACACAGAUUUCCGUUUCAGUAUGUUUUUGCUACAGUUUGCCCAACUGAACACGAGCCAGAAUUGCCAUGAACCUGGAACCUUCUGUUUGUCUUUUCAGGCCCAGAGGAUGUGGAUAGAGUGGCCCUACAGGGGUUGACCCUGAACCAGACCCCCUGUCCUUCCCACCCCCAGACAGCAACCGACUACAGCCCUGCCACCCACCACCAAGCCCCCGUCAAAUGGGUCCGCCACAUCAUCCGUAUUGUGGAGGAGCAGUUUGUCGACGCAGAGGCUUGAGGUCCGGUGUGUCCCGAUAACAAACAAAAAAAGUGUAACUCUUUAAUCGUAAGCUCUUAGGAAUGAUUUUAGUUGGUUUCUCAGGUGUUUAAGUUCUACUUGUUCCUUGGUUUGUUGUUAAUGAAUUAGGAUGUCGUAUUUGUAGCCUAGGUGACAGUUGGGUUACAUGUUAACACUUCAUGAUUUUUUUUGUGAAUAAUUUCAAUAGAUGUCUAGUCUAACUCUCUUAACUAAAAGAGAGAUUGUAGUUUUUAUCUUUAAAUACUUUUGUUUUAAAAACAAUCAACUGGUAUAGGCCCAUGUGUUCAAGUGUCGCUCUCCCUUUAAAAUCUAAUUUGUUAAAAUGGAGAGGGCACAGUGCAAUAAUAAGUAUGUUUGGAUGUAUUCUCAAAUGGACUUACCUGAUUGGACUGAUUCUGAGCCCAUGGAGAGCAAACACCUGCGGAUGUUGUCUGCCUGAUCUUAUCCGUAAGCAGAAAUGAAAGUUAUUCCACUGUCAUCGGACAACCUAAUGAAUAAUUAAUGAAGCGAAUGCCCUCUCCACCUGCCCCCCCCACCCCAUCCCCUCCCUCACCACAUCCAUUUUAUCAGACUACCAGUGGCCAUGUUGUUUCCGCUGGUGGGUCGUAUAUUUAGUCCCGUCGAGGACCUUUGAGUGCUCUCCUCGUGUCUCCUGAGGGAGAAAGCCACAGGUGUUUUCUUAGCCUCUCCUUGAGUCUCCCCUCUCUCCGUCAGCUUAUUUAGCCCCCCCCCGUACCUCCCUCUCUCUCUCUCUGGUCUCUCUCUCAUUGUCAUCGGAGUGCGAUACCUCCUCCUUGAGGCCUCAGUCCUCGGGACCACUCGAAGCCCUCCACAUGUCCUUCCAGCUCCGGCAGCAUUUCAAAACCAUCUGACCCCGGUGUGCUAACU